UCUGAAUCCAAGCCAAGCUCAGAAACCUGCUCUCCACAGGCCCUCAGAAGAGGAGAAACUAAGGUUGGCUCAGUCAUCACCACUACCACAUCAACGAAAGUGGGGAGCAGUAUAUGCACUGAGGGCAGGAACCAGAUCUAUCGAAUCAGCCAUCUGAAUGAAUACAUGAGGUAAGAGAACUAGAACUGCUGGUCUUUGAAGCAGACAGAAACUACAAGGAAGACAAACUUUUUUCACCUUCCACAGAGGAGAGAGAGC